GGUAUCUUUGGGUCUGGCUCUUGUCUAUGUUUCUUGGAACAGAACGUCACAGAGGGUGAGAAUCCCGUGCGAUGAGAUGAUCCAGGCCUAUGUAAAGUUCCUUCGAAGAGUCGAGUUGUUUGGGAAUGCAGCUCUAAGUGGGUGGUAAAUUCCAUCUAAAGCUAAAUAUUGGCGAGAGACCGAUAGCGAACAAGUACAGUGAUGGAAAGAUGAAAAGAACUUUGAAAAGAGAGUGAAAAAGUACGUGAAAUUGUUGAAAGGGAAGGGCUUGAGAUCAGACUUGGUAUUUUGUAUGUUACUUCUUCGGGGGUGGCCUCUACAGUUUAUCGGGCCAGCAUCAGUUUGGGCGGUAGGAGAAUUGCGUUGGAAUGUGGCACGGCUUCGGUUGUGUGUUAUAGCCUUCGUCGAUACUGCCAGCCUAGACUGAGGACUGCGGUUUAUACCUAGGAUGUUGGCAUAAUGAUCUUAAGUCGCCCGUCUUGAAACACGGA
rnacentral:rRNA from 1 species